rnacentral:rRNA from 1 species
GACGAACGCUGGCGGCGUGGAUUAGGCAUGCAAGUCGAACGGUAUCAUCCUUUCGGGGGUGAGAGAGUGGCGAACUGGUGAGUAACACGUAGGUUAUCUACCCUCAAGACGGGGACAACCCAGGGAAACUUGGGCUAAUACCGGAUGUGAGCAACUUUUAGUUGUUUGAAAGGUGGCGUAAGCUGUCGCUUGGGGAUGAGCCUGCGUCCUAUUAGUUAGUUGGUGAGGUAACGGCUCACCUAGGCAAUGAUAGGUAGGCGGCCUUAACGGGUGGUCGCCCACACUGGGAUUGAGAUACGGCCCAGACUCCUACGGGAGGCAGCAGUCGAGAAUAGUCUACAAUGGUCGGAAGACUGAUAGUGCGACGCCGCGUGAACGAUGAAUCCCUUCGGGGUGUAAAGUUCUUUUAUAUGUGAGCAGUGCUUCUUAUAUUAACAGUAUGGGGAAGAGAUAUUAGCAUAUGAAUAAGCAACGGCUAACUCCGUGCCAGCAGCCGGGUAACU